rnacentral:rRNA from 1 species
AGUGGCAGACGGGUGAGUAAUGUAUAGGAAUCUACCUAGUAGUACGGAAUAAUUGUUGGAAACGGCAACUAAUACCGUAUACGCCCUACGGGGGAAAGAUUUAUCGCUAUUAGAUGAGCCUAUAUUAGAUUAGCUAGUUGGUAAGGUAAUGGCUUACCAAGGCAAUGAUCUAUAGCUGAUCUGAGAGGAUGAUCAGCCACACUGGAACUGAGAUACGGUCCAGACUCCUACGGGAGGCAGCAGUGGGGAAUAUUGGACAAUGAGCGAAAGCCUGAUCCAGCCAUGCCGCAUGAGUGAAGAAGGCCUUUGGGUUGUAAAGCUCUUUCGGUGAGGAAGAUAAUGACGGUACUCACAGAAGAAGUCCUGGCUAACUCCGUGCCAGCAGCCGCGGUAAUACGGAGAGGGCUAGCGUUAUUCGGAAUUAUUGGGCGUAAAGAGCGCGUAGGCGGGUUAAUAAGUUAAAAGUGAAAUCCCAAGGCUCAACCUUGGAACUGCUUUUAAAACUGCUAGUCUAGAGAUUGAAAGAGGAUAGAGGAAUUCCUAGUGUAGAGGUGAAAUUCGUAAAUAUUANGAGGAACACCAGUGGCGA